CCAGCCCUCCCCGCAUCCCGCAGUGCCCAUCACCCCCACCCCCCCAAUGCCAAUCGCUGCCCCAGUUUCCAGCCCCCCCAGCCUCUUCCUCCCACAGGCGAGCCCCAGAGCCUGAGGCACAGCCGCUCAGCACGGAGCCAUGGAGGGAGCCCUCCCAGCGUGCAGACCAGAACUGCUGGCGCACAUGGUGGCUCCUCCCACACCUGCUGCUGGUGCUGCUGCUGGCACUGCUCUGCCUCCUGCACCACAUCGCCCCAUGGCUGGAGCUGAGCUACCUGAGAUCCCCCCCACUGUGAGAAGCCCCAGGUCUUAGCUCCCCCUGCGUAGCACGGGACCGCGCCCACGGAAGCUACUGACCGCUGCGCCAUGGGGAAAGGGGGUGCACACAAAUGCCCCCGGUGAAGUCCCCCUCCCCCACGGUACCCCACUUCUGGGGGAGGCUCUGUAUGUUCCGCCCCCCAAAAAGGAGGAAUAAAGCUGUGCCUA